UACGUAGGUGGCAAGCGUUGUCCGGAUUUAUUGGGUUUAAAGGGUGCGUAGGCGGCUUUGUAAGUCAGCGGUGAAAUACUCUAGCUUAACUAGAGGGGUGCCAUUGAUACUGCGGAGCUUGAGUACAGAUGAGGUAGGCGGAAUUGACGGUGUAGCGGUGAAAUGCAUAGAUAUCGUCAAGAACACCGAUAGCGAAGGCAGCUUACUGGGCUGUAACUGACGCUGAUGCACGAAAGCAUGGGGAGCAAAAGGG
rnacentral:rRNA from 1 species